rnacentral:rRNA from 1 species
CCUAAAAGGUAACGGAGGCGCUCAAAGGUUCCCUCAGAAUGGUUGGAAAUCAUUCAUAGAGUGUAAAGGCAUAAGGGAGCUUGACUGCGAGACCUACAAGUCGAGCAGGGUCGAAAGACGGACUUAGUGAUCCGGUGGUUCCGCAUGGAAGGGCCAUCGCUCAACGGAUAAAAGCUACCCCGGGGAUAACAGGCUUAUCUCCCCCAAGAGUUCACAUCGACGGGGAGGUUUGGCACCUCGAUGUCGGCUCAUCGCAUCCUGGGGCUGUAGUCGGUCCCAAGGGUUGGGCUGUUCGCCCAUUAAAGCGGUACGCGAGCUGGGUUCAGAACGUCGUGAGACAGUUCGGUCCCUAUCCGUCGUGGGCGUAGGAAAUUUGAGAGGAGCUGUCCUUAGUACGAGAGGACCGGGAUGGACAUACCUCUGGUGUACCAGUUGUCGUGCCAACGGCAUAGCUGGGUAGCUAUGUGUGGACGGGAUAAGUGCUGAAAGCAUCUAAGCAUGAAGCCCCCCUCAAGAUGAGAUUUCCCAACUUCGGUUAUAAGAUCCCUCAAAGAUGAUGAGGUUAAUAGGUUCGAGGUGGAAGCAUGGUGACAUGUGGAGCUGACGAAUACUAAUCGAUCGAAGACUUAAUCAAAA